rnacentral:rRNA from 1 species
UUGCCAGCCGCCGCGGUAAUACAGAGGUCCCAAGCGUUGUUCGGAUUCACUGGGCGUAAAGGGUGCGUAGGCGGUCAGCUAAGUCUGAUGUGAAAUCUUCGAGCUCAACUCGGAAACUGCAUCGGAAACUAUCUGGCUCGAGGAUUGGAGGGGAGACUGGAAUUCUCGGUGUAGCAGUGAAAUGCGUAGAUAUCGAGAGGAACACCAGUGGCGAAGGCGAGUCUCUGGACAAUUCCUGACGCUGAGGCACGAAAGCUAGGGGAGCAAACAGGAUUAGAAACCCUAGUAGUCC